rnacentral:tRNA from 1 species
UCCCUAGUGGCUCAGAUGGUAAAGAAUCUGCCUGCAGUGCAGGAGAUCUGGGUUCUAUCCCUAGGUUGGGAA